GUGCUCACUUUGGAAGCACACAUACUAAAACUAGAACGAUACAGAGAGAAUUAGCAUGGCCUCUGCACAAGGAUGAGAAGAAAAUUCGUGAAAUGUUCCAUAUUUUU
ensembl:snRNA U6 U6 spliceosomal RNA